UGCGAUCACCAUAUCUGCUGACCCUUGUGACCAUCACACAGUGUUGAAUGAUCCAUGGAGGAACUUGACGUGUGUGAGACCUAUGUGCUCUAAAGUGAUUAAAUGUGACAGGCAACUUGUCACCAGAUGGUACAGAUUCAGCAGCAAUGAAAAGUUGAGGAUACCUGAGACCAUUGUCCCAAAGAAUCAUUGCUCCACACAUGCCUCAGGCUGGUUAAAUGGUUCUCAUCCCACAGUGGAGCAGGGAGCAGUAGUGAGGACAGUGUGUUUCAAC